CUUUCCUUUUCCAGUUCAGCCUCCCAACUACUCCCUUUCGACAGUCGCCGGAGUCCUUCCUUUUUAAUGCGGCACAGUUCACACAAGAGAAGUCGCUAGGUACAUCUACUUCCUUCCUCUCUCUUUCUUCUUGUUGUUCAUUUUUUUCCACUGACCCUUCUCUUGCCCUUCCCCUUGCGUAGGCGGUAAUGUAUGGUCCAUCUGUGCUUCAUGGUGGUUUUCAUCCUGAGUUUGCAGUACCAGCCCAGGUUCUUUCUCGAUCUCCGCCUUCUGUACAAUCUGACCCUUUAUUAUAUUGUGUCAGUUGCUUAUGUGCUCCCUGUCCAUAUCUUCUAGGAUCUAGUGUUGCUCUCCAUGCUUGAGUGUCAAAGAUGACGAUACACCCCUGAUGCUUUAUUGAAAUAAUAUAUAUUAGUUUUAUUCUAUCAGGUGUAAUGAUCCCCAUCUGAGGGCAUUUUAUCAUGUAAAUGGUCCUCCUGCUCCCCCCA
rnacentral:lncRNA from 1 species